GAUGAACGCUGGCGGCGUGCCUAAUACAUGCAAGUCGAACGAACAGACGAUGAGAUCGCUCCCUUGCCGUUAGCGGCGGACGGUUGAGUGACGAAUGGAUAAGCAACCUAUAGGACUGGGGUAACAACGGGAGGGAGGAGCCAAUAACACAGAAUAUAAUCAACCGCAUGAAUCAAUAGAGCAUGGCAGCUUUGCUGACAGUUAUAGAUGUAUCCGCGUGGGAUUAGCUAGUUGGUAGGGUAACGGCUUACCAAGGCAACGAUGCGUAGCCGACGUGAGAGGGUGAUCGGCCACACUGGAACUGAGACACGGUCCAGACUCCUACGGGAGGCAGCAGUAGGGAAUCUUCCACAAUGGGCGAAAGCCUGACGGAGCAACGCCGCGUGAGUGAUGAAGGUCUUCGGAUCGUAAAACCCUGUUGUUAGGGAAGAAAAGAUGUGUGAGUAACUAUGCACGUCUUGACGGUACCUAAACAGAAAGCCACGGCUAACUACGUG
rnacentral:rRNA from 1 species